UGGGGAAUAUUGCGCAAUGGGCGAAAGCCUGACGCAGCGACGCCGCGUGGGGGAUGACGGCCUUCGGGUUGUAAACCUCUUUCAGCAGGGACGAAGCGGAAGUGACGGUACCUGCAGAAGAAGCACCGGCCAACUACGUGCCAGCAGCCGCGGUAAUACGUAGGGUGCAAGCGUUGUCCGGAAUUAUUGGGCGUAAAGAGCUCGUAGGCGGUCUGUCGCGUCGGCUGUGAAAUCCCGAGGCUCAACCUCGGGUCUGCAGUCGAUACGGGCAAACUGGAGUGUUGCAGGGGAGACUGGAAUUCCUGGUGUAGCGGUGAAAUGCGCAGAUAUCAGGAGGAACACCGGUGGCGAAGGCGGGUCUCUGGGCAACAACUGACGCUGAGGAGCGAAAGCGUGGGGAGCGAACAGG
rnacentral:rRNA from 1 species